UACAGAGGUCCCAAGCGUUUGUUCGGAUUCACUGGGCGUAAAGGGUGCGUAGGCGGUCGGGUAAGUCUGAUGUGAAAUCUCCAAGCCUAACUUGGAAACUGCAUUGGAUACUAUCCGGCUAGAGGAAUGGAGGGGAGACUGGAAUACUUGGUGUAGCAGUGAAAUGCGUAGAUAUCAAGUGGAACACCAGUGGCGAAGGCGAGUCUCUGGACAUUUCCUGACGCUGAGGCACGAAAGCCAGGGGAGCAAACGGG
rnacentral:rRNA from 1 species